GAUGAACGCUGGCGGCGUGCCUAAUACAUGCAAGUCGAGCGAAUGGAUUAAGAGCUUGCUCUUAUGAAGUUAGCGGCGGACGGGUGAGUAACACGUGGGUAACCUGCCCAUAAGACUGGGAUAACUCCGGGAAACCGGGGCUAAUACCGGAUAACAUUUUGAACCGCAUGGUUCGAAAUUGAAAGGCGGCUUCGGCUGUCACUUAUGGAUGUACCCGCGUCGCAUUAGCUAGUUGGUGAGGUAACGGCUCACCAAGGCAACGAUGCGUAGCCGACCUGAGAGGGUGAUCGGCCACACUGGAACUGAGACACGGCCCAGACUCCUACGGGAGGCAGCAGUAGGGAAUCUUCCGCAAUGGACGAAAGUCUGACGGAGCAACGCCGCGUGAGUGAUGAAGGCUUUCGGGUCGUAAAACUCUGUUGUUAGGGAAGAACAAGUGCUAGUUGAAUAAGCUGACACCUUGACGGUACCUAACCAGAAAGCCACGGCUAACUACGUGCCAGCCGCCGCGGUAA
rnacentral:rRNA from 1 species